UUGAGCUACCGAGCUUAGCGGAGGUAAGCUAAUGCUAUUAGCUAAAGUCAUUGUGUUGACCUGGCAUCAGUGAGUUACACAUGAAAGCAUGGCAGGAUAACAGCAACUUCUCCAUCCCUCCAUAAUGUAG